UAACCGAGUAAUUCACAGUGGGAUUUAUUCCAGAAUAAUAUUUACAAACGUGAAAAUGUAUUUUUUUAAUGCAAUAAUUAUUGUGCACAUAUGAUGUCCGCUGAAUCACCUAAGCAACCAGGUUUUCAUUCAAUAUGGACCACUAUGACCAAAUCAAAAUAUGGUCUUCCCUCAUCUGUUUCCCACUUACGACAGAUCUUACACCAACAAAACAUUCUAUCUAGGAAGAACAAAAAGUAGCGCGAUCCUACGUACGACUUUGACACAUUGGACGAAUUGUGUGUGUGUGUGUGUGUGUGUGUGUGUUGCUUCUCUUUCGUGGUAGAAACACAGGGAAAAGCAGCGACUUCGUAGAGGCCCCCCUUGGAUCCGCUCUGGUGCUCACAGACUCUGAGAGGGGGACGGAGAAUGUGAUGUUGGGUUGUUAGGGUUGAAUCACUAUUCAUGUUUGCGGCCGCGUGCACUUGCUCACAUGUAUACACACUAUAACGUAACGAGUUGAUGUGAGCAGAAACGCACGCAUUUUAUAAAUGGUUCAGAAGGUGUCAUAUUUAAAAUGGACCAGGACAGUAAGAAAGAGUUGAUCUGGUUAAUUAUCCGCUAAGCUAAGCUAAGCUAACAGCCUGCUGGAUAUCGCUGUACUUUACCUCACACACAAGACUGAUGUUGAUCUUUUCAUUCAAAUCUCAAUAAGAAAACGGCGUAUCUCCACGUUAUUUCUUUAAAUCACUUUAAACGUUGUGCUCUCGUAUAAGAGUAUAUUCAUGAAUCUAGAUUAUGGUUAACAUUCUUCUUCAGCCUCAUUGUGGCCCUUGUUGGAAUAUAAUGGGUCUUAAACACUACAGUCGCUGAUAAGUAAAGCACUAACACAUCACUUACAACUUGAACUUCAGAGCUCUCACUAAUUACAAUAUUGCAUUUUUUAAUUAGAAUGUAGCUGUGGCUUCAGUGUUCAGUGUGAGAGACAGCGGUGUCCUCUUCAGUAUGUCGUUGUGUUUUUCUGCUCAUGGGAAUUAUGCACCUGCAUAAUAAAUGGAAAUCUGUAAUUGCAUUUAAUUUGCGGAACCCAUAUUGGAACACACUAAAUGGUUGAUUGACAGCAAUGUAGAAAAAUGUGUGUUUUUUUUUUGCAACACACACUUGAUGCUUUCAACCGCUUUCUCCUGCAGCUAAUUAGAGGGACUGCUUAAAUCACACUUUCCCCUCCAUUAUCUGUUCUAUCAGGGGGAAAGCCUGCAACAGGAUGUCCGGCAUGUUGGUACUCUUCAGACCUUUGCUAAAUGGAAGAAAGAAAAAUGUUG
ensembl:lncRNA